UACAGAGGAUGCAAGCGUUAUCCGGAAUGAUUGGGCGUAAAGCGUCUGUAGGUGGCUUUUUAAGUCCGCCGUCAAAUCCCAGGGCUCAACUCUGGACAGGCGGUGGAAACUACCAAGCUGGAGUACGGUAGGGGCAGAGGGAAUUUCCGGUGGAGCGGUGAAAUGCGUAGAGAUCGGAAAGAACACCGGUGGCGAAGGCGGCCUGCUGGGCAGUAGCUGACGCUGAGGCGCGACAGCGUGGGGAGCAAACAGG
rnacentral:rRNA from 1 species